UACGUAGGGGGCAAGCGUUGUCCGGAAUCAUUGGGCGUAAAGCGCGUGUAGGCGGUUCUGUAAGUCUGCUGUGAAAGUCCAGGGCUCAACCCUGGGAUGCCGGUGGAUACUGCAGGGCUAGAGUACGGAAGAGGCGAGUGGAAUUCCCGGUGUAGCGGUGAAAUGCGCAGAUAUCGGGAGGAACACCGGUGGCGAAGGCGGGUCUCUGGGCAACAACUGACGCUGAGGAGCGAAAGCUAGGGGAGCGAACAGG
rnacentral:rRNA from 1 species